GACAGCGGCCGGGGACAUCCUGUUGGGAGCCCAGGGCAGGGGCAUUCUGUUCCUCACCGCCGUCCAGGGCUCGCUCCUGGAAUUUUCUUCCAGGAAAAUUCCCAACAGCCUUAAUGGGAAGGAUACAAGAGGGACGUGUGUAGGAAUGUUCAAGAGCAGAGCUUUUACUGACAUAAGUAUGUAUGAAGUGCAGGCUUUGGAAGUGAACUGCUAGUUCACAAAGUCAGCUUAAAAAUUGCACUGUGAGAUGUAACUCCUGCAAUUUUCUAUUUGAGUUUUAGCUGAAAAAAGGAUUAAGAAUACAAUGUCACUUAUGCAGAAAACCACAACAAUGCAUAGUACUUAUUUCAAGAACAUGCAGUAAAGUAUUUGUGAAUGGUCCCACAAGAAGAUUAACUAAAUUAGGAAGUAACCAAAUAUUCAAAAGGAAAGGAGAAAUCCAAGAAUUGAAUGAUCUGCACAGACACUUCAUAAACAGAUCCAACAGGCAACAUUUUCCCAAGAGAUUGCUCAUGGAAAUUAUUUGCUUCAUUUCAGUUGUUAACAAGCAUGAGCAGCUGAGCUCCACCUCCUCUGCAGCGCAGAAGUGAUCUCCAAGGCUUUUUCCUACCAGCAUUACCAGAAAAUGAAUGAAUUAGGUUUGGACAGGUCCUCCUCUGUUAUUUUACUGACUCUCAAAUCCAUCUGGCUGCUUUGAGUAAAUGUGGGGGAAAAACAUGAAAAAAUAUAUAUCCUGGGUUUACUUUGAUCUCUAAAAAUAAGGACAAUCAAUUUUAGGUAUAUAAUAAUAUUGCUAACCUCUGUUCACUAAGCAAUCCUUGCUUUUUCCUUGGUUCUCAGUUUGACACAUCUCCAGCAUGAAAUGGACUCAGAUUGCCAUGAAACUGAAAGCUCUGAGUGUGGAAAUUGGGGAAUGCAUAGACAGAUUCCUUUUUCCUUUUUAAACAUAUACCAAUGAAUAAGCCUUUUUAUUUUUUUUUCCCCUCUCACAAGUUUUCUGAAUUUCUUGGUAAAUAUCACUACAAACCUCGGCUAGAAAGCCCAAAGCAAUUUCCUUUAGGGGACUUCUGUUAGAGCCACAGAAUAUCAAAGGUGAAAAACCAGAGAUUGAUUCAACCCUGAAAUGGUACACUGAUCCUGGUGAAAGCUACCACGAAGAUCAGGUCACUUUUUGACAUGAGCUUUGCCAAUGGGAAAGCAAGAGAAAAGCAGGAGAUCACUGCAGAGUUCUAAAAAGAGCCAGGAAGCAGCUGCAAAUGUUCUGAUACUGACAUACAUGUUUGGCCACCAUGAGGGGUUUAAAGGAGCAAGCAUGGGUGUAGAGGUAAAUCUCAGAAAGGAUGGGCAAGUUAAACUACAGCUGUAAGGUGCAUUGUCUGGUCAAAGUUGUAGGAUAGCUUUCUUGUCUAUUAAACAUGGUUCAGAAAAUUUAAAAAUAUAAAAAUGUAAAAUAAAAUAUGAACAUGAAACACUUUGAUUUACAGUAUUUCUAGUUCCUUUAGUGCACAGUAAACUUCUGUACCAUUGUUACCUGAGGCAUACGUGAUGCUUUUUAGGAAGAGACAAUUGCUCAACUAUUGGCAGAGUAUUCUUUGCAAUCUUUAUGGCAUACUGAUUGAAUCAAUCUGCUGCAUGUGACAUCUUGACAGAGCACAUUUAAGAUGGGUAGGAAGAAUUCCUGCUUCCAACACUUGCACUGAAGUAAAACCUUCCUUACUUGAGCAGUCCAUCCCAGCCUAGAUGGGCAGGUUCUAUGGGAAAGGCAAGGAGCAUUUUCUUGCCAGCUUACACACAUAUGGUGGAGGGUAGGACACUUGUAAAAAACUUCCAUGAGCCCAUGGCUGGGGAUCUGCCUCUUUAAUGGCCAAGAAGCCACUAAACAUUUCAUAAUAACCAUAAUUCCUGGAAACAGAAACACUGAAUGACACAGAACUUACUACUUUUUUUUUUAAUACACUCUGUUACCUAAAUCUUGCCAUAUACAAUUUCAGGACUACUAAGAAAAUCUGCAAUAUAUUUCAUAGUUUUUACAGUGAAAGCAGAAGCUAUGUCUAAACACAUAGAGGAGGGAGUGAAAAGCAUGAUGGGUAUUGAAGUUUAUCAUAUAUUUGUCUGCAACCAGGACCAGCCCUAGUGAUGUCCUCACAAAGUUUGGGCACCCAACUGUUGAUUGCCUCAAUUAACAGGCAUCCAAAAUCUAAGGCUGCUCAGAUACCUUAAGAGUAUCUGAAAAAAAUGUCCAUAAACUGGAGAUAUUUGCCUAUAUGUAUUUAAACAUUAUCAAUGUUAUGGAGAAAAAACAAAGUCCUUCAAGUUAUGUUCCAGCUAUGUUAAUUUUAAUUGAAGAGGUUUGGAGAUAAAUAUGUGUUACAGAUUCUACAGAGAUUUUGCUACCAAUAGCAAAGCAAUUUCUUGCCUAAUGUCAUUAAGUGAAUAAUAUGAACAGGAAUUGAGAAACUCAGUAAUUUCUAAAAUUAGUGAAUACUUCAGUUCUUCUUCUUCUGACUAUCCUUUAAUGAAACUUUAUGUCAAAGUAGUUGCAAAUUACCUAGUAAUUAAACAUUCAAAAUAGUUAUGGAACAUAUAUUUUUGUGAAAUGCCUGUUUUCAUUAGUUAGCAUUUAUAUGUUUUGCUACACGACUGCAUUUUUAAAGUUGCCUCACCUUUGAAAAUAUCUCAAAUAUUAAAAUAUCUCAAAUAUUUAAUUUUACUUAUUAUUAUUGUAAUUUGUUGUAAUUUGGAAAUAAGACUGUGACAAGCUCAGGUAAAACAUGCUAAUAAGGGACUAAUAUGUAGUAGAAAAGAAUAAGUGCAUUAAUACAUCUCCACAUGCUAGUGACUAGUAGCUGCUCUUAAUCUUCCAUUUUUUUUCUUCCAUAAUUCACCUACUUAUCCUCAUAAUAUCUCCUUUUUAAAAGUCUUUCUUCACUGUGGCAGUUCAUGAAGACAAAUCCAAUGUAAGAAAGAUAUUUACAUAUUAAAUAGGUAGAAAACUGUUACUCUGUUUUGCAACUGAGAAUGUCAAACCAAAGAACUUCACUAUACUUUUCCUUUUGUAAUCUCUUUUUAUGAGUUCAGUAUGAGAGAUAUGACCAUGAUUUGGAACAUUGUUGUUUCAUUUAAUUUGCAUCCAAGAGCCACAGAGCCGUCUACCUUCCUGCUUUUAUAUGUGCUGUUAGGAAUAUUAGAGAAGAAUGGCAUGUUCCUUGCUGUGACAUAUGCUUUCCAGGCAGGUUUAGUUGAAUCACUUAAUGCAAGAUCCACAGAGACAUCCAGACCCAGAGCCAACCUACUUAAUUUUAAAUUUGAAUAUAAAAUGAAGUGAGUGUCCCCAGAAAGGGCUUUGAUAAUCUGAUAUUCAGGAUUUGCCUAAAAGGUAGAAAAAGUGUAUCUGAUUUCCUUUAAGUAGAAAAAGCAACUGAGCCUUGCUCUUCCUCAUUAGACCCCUACAUUAAAGAAUAAGUAACCUUU